GCAGUUGGUGGACCUGGUCGCGCUGUGCCGGGUGUGACACUACGGAGAGCAGAUUACAUUAUCAAAAGCACCAAGUUGAAACAUUUGCAAGGUGUGCAUCAUUUCACAAUUAUUGGCAAUGGUUCAAUGGUUUCAUCUGCUUUGAACGGUUUCUUCUCUAUCAUUAAGAGGUGAAGGUUGAUCAUGGUGAUGUGAAACUCUACCAAAAUCUCCAUCUGCAGAGCGGAGGCAUGUUGCUGUAGAAGCGCACUGGAAGGAAACUCAGAUCACUGAGGUCCAGCCUCACUGCAGCCUUUGGUUCUUUCCUUGGCCCAUGAAGAGUCUCUUAGCCUCACUGAACCUAUUUUCCUCCUCUGUACAAUGUUCACAAUUAAGUCCUUGCUUAAUGCACAGUAGUGUGGGGAAAAUAUUAGAAUACCAUUUACAUUUGUAUGAUCUUUGAUAACUAAUGAAACCCUUCUCCUCUGGUUUUUCUUUUUUUCUCAUACAAAUGCAAUGAAGUAGUUGGCCUAGGCAAAGAAUUUAUGACUGAUCUCAAAAGCAAAUGCAACAAAACAAAAAUAGACAAAUGAGACUCAAACUGAAAAGCUUUUCCACAGCAAAAGAAAUAGUCAGCAGAGUAUACAUAUGUAACUAACCUGCACAAUGUGCACAUGUACCCUAAAACUUAGAGUAUAAUAAAAAAAAAAAAAAAAUCUGUAGGAUAAUAUCAUCAGUGAAUUUACAUUUAAAAAUGCUAAAUAAAUAUGUAUGUAUUUCAGAUUUCAGAAAUAUAUUAAAAAUCAUGGAGUAUGAUUAAAAAAAAAAAAAAAAGAAAUAGCAGAAUAAACAGACAACCUAUCAAAAGGAAGAAAAGUAUUUGCCAACUAUGUAUCUGACAAAAGGGUAAUAUCUAGAAUUUACAAGUAAUUAAAAUAACUCAACAAGAAAAAUACAAAUAACCCCAUUAAAAAGUGGACAAAGGACAUGAGCAUUUUUCAAAAGAAUACAUACAGGCAGCAACAAACGUGAAAAAAAAGUUCAACAUCGCAAAUCAUCAGUGAAAUGCAAAUUGAAACCACAAUGAGAUAGCACCUUUCACCUGUCAGAAAGGCUUUUAUUAAAAAGUCAAGAAAACGUAGAUAUUGGUGAGGAUGAGGAGAAAAGAGAAUGCUUAUACACUGUUGGUGGGAAUGUAAAUUAGUACAACCUCUAUGGAAAACAGUGUGAAGAUUUCUCAAAGAGCUAAAAAUAGAACUACCAUUUGAUCCAGCAGUUCCACUACUGGGUAUUUGCCCAAAGGAAAAGAAAUUAGUAUAUUAAAAAGACACUUGUGCUCGUAUGUUUAUCACAGCAAUAUUCACAAUAGCAAAGACAUGAAAUCAAUAUAUGUCCAUUAGCAGAUGAUUGGAUAAAGAAAAUGUGUAUACAUUCUUGGAGAAACAUAUAUAUAUAUAUAUACACACACACACACACACACACACAAAAUACACACACAUAUAUUAUACACAUACACUCAUGCACACACACCAUAGAAUACUAUCCAUUUAUAAAAAAUAAUGAAAUCAUGUCUUUUGCAGUAACAUGGAUGGGACUGGGAACCUUUUUUUUUUAGGUUAAAUCACUCAGAAAGUCAAGUACUGCACAUUCUCACCUAGUAGGAGCGCAACAAUGUGGACACAUGGACAUACAGAGUAGAGUAGUAGACACUGGAGACUCGAAAAGGUGGGAGGGUGGGAGGUGGGUGUGGAAUGAGUAAUUACCUGUUGGGUACAAUGUACCCUAUUUAGGUGAUGGUUCCACUAAAAGCCCCGACCUCACUGUUACACAAUAUAUCCAUGUAACAAAAAUGCACUUGUACUACCUGACUCUAUAAAAAUUAAAAAAAAUACAAUGAAUUAGGAAA